UACGAGGGGGGCGAGCGUUGUUCGGAAUUAUUGGGCGUAAAGGGCGCGUAGGCGGUUGGAUAAGUCCUGUGUGAAAUCUUCGGGCUCAACUCGAAGUCUGCACGAGAAACUAUCUGGCUUGAGUGUGGGAGAGGUGAGUGGAAUUCCUGGUGUAGCGGUGAAAUGCGUAGAUAUCAGGAGGAACACCUGUGGCGAAAGCGGCUCACUGGACCACAACUGACGCUGAGGCGCGAAAGCUAGGGGAGCAAACAGG
rnacentral:rRNA from 1 species